CCUACGGUGCGCAGCAGUGGGGAAUAUUGGACAAUGGGCGAAAGCCUGAUCCAGCCAUGCCGCGUGUGUGAAGAAGGCCUUCGGGUUGUAAAGCACUUUCAGUGGGGAAGAAAGCCUUGGGGCUAAUACCCUCGAGGAAGGACAUCACCCACAGAAGAAGCACCGGCUAACUCCGUGCCAGCAGCCGCGGUAAUACGGAGGGUGCGAGCGUUAAUCGGAAUUACUGGGCGUAAAGCGCGCGUAGGCGGUCUGAUAAGCCGGUUGUGAAAGCCCCGGGCUCAACCUGGGAACGGCAUCCGGAACUGUCAGGCUAGAGUGCAGGAGAGGAAGGUAGAAUUCCCGGUGUAGCGGUGAAAUGCGUAGAGAUCGGGAGGAAUACCAGUGGCGAAGGCGGCCUUCUGGACUGACACUGACGCUGAGGUGCGAAAGCGUGGGUAGCAAACAGGAUUAGAUACCCGAGUAGUC
rnacentral:rRNA from 1 species